GGCUGCAACUCGCCUGCAUGAAGUCGGAAUUGCUAGUAAUCGCAGAUCAGCAUGCUGCGGUGAAUACGUUCCCGGGCCUUGUACACACCGCCCGUCACACCAUGGGAGUCGGUAACACCCAAAGUUGGUAGCCUAACCGCAAGGAGGGCGCCGCCUAAGGUGGGAUUGAUGACUGGGGUGAAGUCGUAACAAGGUACC
rnacentral:rRNA from 1 species